rnacentral:rRNA from 1 species
AGACAUGCAAGUCGAACGAGAUCCUUAGCAAAGCUUGCUUUGCUAAGUCUAGUGGCGAACGGGUGAGUAACACGUGAGCAACCUGCCCAGAAGCAGGGGAUAAGCCACCGAAAGGUGGUCUAAUACCGUAUGUGAUUCCAAGGGGCAUCUCUUGAGGAUCAAAGCGGGGGCCUUUUAGGCCUCGCACUUCUGGAUGGGCUCGCGGCCUAUCAGCUAGUUGGUGAGGUAACGGCUUACCAAGGCGACGACGGGUAGCUGGUCUGAGAGGAUGAUCAGUCACACUGGAACUGAGACACGGUCCAGACACCUACGGGUGGCAGCAGUCGAGAAUCAUUCACAAUGGGCGAAAGCCUGAUGGUGCGACGCCGCGUGGAGGAUGACAGCCCUAGGGUUGUAAACUCCUGUCAUGAGAGAGUAAAGACUUACCGUUAAUACCGGUGGGUCCUGAUAGUAUCUCAAGAGGAAGGGACGGCUAACUUCGUGCCAGCAGCCGCGGUAAUACGAAGGUCCCAAGCGUUGUUCGGAAUUACUGGGCGUAAAGCGUGCGUAGGCGGCAUGGUAAGUCAGAUGUGAAAUCCCGGGGCUCAACCUCGGAACUGCAUCCGAUACUGCCAAGCUAGAGUAGUGGAGGGGAGUCUGGAAUUCACGGUGUAGCAGUGAAAUGCGUAGAUAUCGUGAGGAACACUAGUGGCGAAGGCGAGACUCUGGACACUAACUGACGCUGAGGCACGAAGGCUAGGGUAGCGAAAGGGAUUAGAUACCCCUGUAGUCCUAGCAGUAAACGGUGCGCGUUUGGUGUGGGCGGGUUCGACCCCGUCCGUGCCGAAGCUAACGCGUUAAACGCGCCGCCUGGGGAGUAC